UCAAUCAGUGUCAUGUCAUUUGUGAGUCGGGGUCCGUGUGUCGGCUUCCUUGGGGUUGUCUCGUCUUAACGGGCACCUGUUGUCAAAAUUAAAUUGCUGUAAAUACAAUUGGAACUUACCUGAUUCAGGUGUUGACAGACGAAACCGGAAGCAAUGAGUCGGUAAUCAGUGGGCACGCGUGACAUUUUAUAAAAUCAACGGUUUUUGUACUGAUGUGGUCAUUUUCAAUUUUUGUCUUGAAAUCACGACCAAAUUGGGUCAGAGAAUGUUUUCAUACCUGUCAAUCGAAAAAGGAAUACACAUUUGUUAUUACCCACAAUGCCCCUACACACAAUUGCCGCCAUUUUGUCACUUGAUCUCAUGAGAAGUUGUUUUGAAAGUAGGCCAAAUCUGUGUCUCCCGUUAUCAACACAAUAAGGAACCCAACACAAUGGAUUAUUCCUUCGCUUGUACAUGUUAUCUGAAUCAAGACAAUGGCAAUGAGAGUUACACGAGAAGCUCUGGAGCUUCGGGUAGGUGAAAAUUUGAAAACAGGAGCAGUUGUGGAUCGCGGAGGGAGAAACGGAACAUUCUACGACCAUGUCAGCAUUCCAUUCGGCCAGUGUUUGAAAAACUGAAGAUGAUCAACUGAUCUUGACCUACAACAGAAGCAGUUUGGCGGUUUUGGACGAACAAGAGGGUUCGUUCACCUUAGAAGAC